AGUCUGGCCACACAGGGGAGAUAACAUGAUCAAGAAGGUGGUUUUCCCAGGGCGAGGCUUAUCCAUUGCACUCUGGAUGUGCAGACCCCUGCAAUUUCCCCAAAUGCAGGAAACUUGACUGCAUAAUUUGUAAUAGCAUGACUGCGUUCAUGCUCUCC
ensembl:snRNA U1 U1 spliceosomal RNA